AUUGAACGCUGGCGGCAGGCUUAACACAUGCAAGUCGAGCGGGGUGAUGGUGCUUGCACUAUCACUUAGCGGCGGACGGGUGAGUAAUGCUUAGGAAUCUGUCUAUUAGUGGGGGACAACAUCUCGAAAGGGAUGCUAAUACCGCAUACGUCCUACGGGAGAAAGCAGGGGAUCACUUGUGACCUUGCGCUAAUAGAUGAGCCUAAGUCGGAUUAGCUAGUUGGUGGGGUAAAGGCCUACCAAGGCGACGAGCUGUAGCGGGUCUGAGAGGAUGAGCCGCCACGCUGGGACUGAGACACGGCCCAGACUCCUACGGGAGGCAGCAGUGGGGAAUAUUGGACAAUGGGGGGAACCCUGAUCCAGCCAUGCCGCGUGUGUGAAGAAGGCCUUAUGGUUGUAAAGCACUUUAAGCGAGGAGGAGGCUCUUUUGGUUAAUACCCAAGAUGAGUGGACGUUACUCGCAGAAUAAGCACCGGCUAACUCUGUGCCAGCCGCCGCUGUAA
rnacentral:rRNA from 1 species